AGUGAACGCUGGCGGUAGGCCUAACACAUGCAAGUCGAACGGCAGCACAGUAAGAGCUUGCUCUUACGGGUGGCGAGUGGCGGACGGGUGAGGAAUACAUCGGAAUCUACUUUUUCGUGGGGGAUAACGUAGGGAAACUUACGCUAAUACCGCAUACGACCUACGGGUGAAAGCAGGGGAUCUUCGGACCUUGCGCGAUUGAAUGAGCCGAUGUCGGAUUAGCUAGUUGGCGGGGUAAAGGCCCACCAAGGCGACGAUGCGUAGCUGGUCUGAGAGGAUGAUCAGCCACACUGGAACUGAGACACGGUCCAGACUCCUACGGGAGGCAGCAGUGGGGAAUAUUGGACAAUGGGCGCAAGCCUGAUCCAGCCAUACCGCGUGGGUGAAGAAGGCCUUCGGGUUGUAAAGCCCUGUUGUUGGGAAAGAAAAGCAGCAGGUUAAUACCCCGCUGUUCUGACGGUACCCAAAGAAUAAGCACCGGCUAACUUCGUG
rnacentral:rRNA from 1 species